GGAUAACUUACCCUUAGGACUGGGAUAACUCUGGGAAACUGGGGAUAAUACUGGAUAUUUGGCUAUGCCUGGAAUGGUUUGCCUUUGAAAUGUUUUCUUUUUCGCCUAAGGAUAGAUCUGCGGCUGAUUAGGUCGUUGGUGGGGUAAUGGCCCACCAAGCCGAUGAUCGGUACGGGUUGUGAGAGCAAGAGCCCGGAGAUGGAACCUGAGACAAGGUUCCAGACCCUACGGGGUGCAGCAGGCGCGAAACCUCCGCAAUGUACGAAAGUGCGACGGGGGGAUCCCAAGUGUUAUGCUUUUUUUGUAUAACUUUUCAUUAGUGUAAAAAGCUUUUAGAAUAAGAGCUGGGCAAGACCGGUGCCAGCCGCCGCGGUAACACCGGCAGCUCGAGUGGUAGCUGUUUUUAUUGGGCCUAAAGCGUUCGUAGCCGGUUUGAUAAGUCUUUGGUGAAAGCUUGUAGCUUAACUAUAAGAAUUGCUGGAGAUACUAUUAGACUUGAAGUCGGGAGAGGUUAGAGGUACUACCGGGGUAGGGGUGAAAUCCUAUAAUCCUGGGAGGACCACCUGUGGCGAAGGCGUCUAACUGGAACGAUCUUGACGGUGAGUAACGAAAGCCAGGGGCGCGAACCGGAUUAGAUACCCGGGUAGUCCUGGCCGUAAACGAUGUAGACUUGGUGUUGGAAUGGCUUUGGGUUGUUCCGGUGCCGAAGGGAAGCUGUUAAGUCUACCGCCUGGGAAGUACGGUCGCAAGACUGAAACU
rnacentral:rRNA from 1 species